UUUAAAUGUUCAUUAAUAAAUAAACAUUAUUUUCCCCGAUUCCCAAACCCUAACCCUAGAAUCUCUCCUCUUCGUCUUUCUCCAACCAACCUCUACCACCACCACCCCCACAGUGCCACCACUCAUAAUUUCGUUGGUGAUUUGUAGGUUCCGAUUUAGUGUUGGCCGGAAAAUCGCAUCAGAAGUGUGAUAGUUGGGGGAUGUUUCUGUUAACAUUUAUAUUGAUCUAGUAAUGAAAUAUCUUUGCUUGAUAGUGAUGCUGCACCAUUAUCCAAGUAGUUUCGAGCAACCAUCAAUCUGCAAAAUGAGUUCUUACCAGAAGGAGUCGGACCAUCGAAUAGUGUUCUCAAUGGAUGAGUCACCCACCUAGGUACAUGUCUUUAUGAAGGAAGGUGUGCAUGAAAGUCUUUACGGAAGAUCAUUGGAUUAUUUUUUAGGAAGGUAUUCGAGGAAUGAACUUAUAUUACAAAGAAUCUUUUGUUAA